UGGUAGAUGCACCCUGAUUAAUUACCCCUGACUUCGGUUGGGGGUUUUUUAU
rnacentral:sRNA from 1 species